GACGAACCGUGCGAACGUUAUUCGGAAUCACUGGGCUUAAAGCGCGUGUAGGCGGACUGCCACGUCGGGCGCUGAAAUCCCCCGGCUCAACCGGGGAAUGGGCACCGAUACGAGCAGUCUUGAGGGGAAUAGGGGGACCUGGAACUUCCGGUGGAGCGGUGAAAUGCGUUGAGAUCGGAAGGAACGCCCGUGGCGAAAGCGAGGUCCUGGGUUUCUACUGACGCUGAGACGCGAAAGCCAGGGGAGCAAACGG
rnacentral:rRNA from 1 species